CUUCCGGUGCUCCUGCCUCAGGGCGGAAGGAAGGACGUCGGGGGGCAGGUCGUGCUCCUCUUUCCUCUUCCUUUGGGAAGGCGAUGGUGUUCACGAUUUUUUACUAAUUCAUGUUUCUCUGCAUGUGCAUCAAUUGAUGCUUUUAUUUUUAUCGAUACAGUAGUUUUAAAAUUAAUUUAAUCCAGGAGGACUUUCUUUGAGAAAGAGCUUGAUGGAGGUGAGGGUGAUGGAAAUGAGGAAAGAGAAAAAUGCAUCUUACAAAUCCACAGUCGUGCAGCAAAGCAAUAUGCCACGAUAUCUAUGGGACAGCAUGCCAGCUUCCUUCCCUGAAGGGUUUUCUGGAGAUUAAGGUACACUAACGUCGUUUUAUCUACUAUAUUGUAUCCCAUUAAUAAAUCAUCAUCCAAAUUAUCA
rnacentral:lncRNA from 12 species